rnacentral:rRNA from 1 species
CCUACGGGAGGCUGCAGUGAGGAAUAUUGGUCAAUGGACGAGAGUCUGAACCAGCCAAGUAGCGUGAAGGAUGACUGCCCUCUGGGUUGUAAACUUCUUUUAUAUGGGAAUAAAACGUUCCACGUGUGGGAUUUCGUAUGUACCAUAUGAAUAAGGAUCGGCUAACUCCGUGCCAGCAGCCGCGGUAAUACGGUGGAUCCGAGCGUUAUCCGGGUUUAUUGGGUUUAAAGGGAGCGUAGGGGGAUUGGUAAGUCAGUUGUGAUAGUUUGCGGCUCAACCGUAACAUUGCAGUGGAAACUGGCAGUCGUGAGUGCAGAAGAGGUGGGCGGAACUCGAGGUGUAGCGGUGAAAUGCGUAGAUAUCACGAAGAACUCCGAUUGCGAAGGCAGUUCACUGGACUGCAACUGACACUGAGGUUCGAAAGUGUGGGUAUCAAACAGGAUUAGAUACCCCAGUAGUC